rnacentral:lncRNA from 1 species
UAAACACAAAAUAUCUUAUAAUGAAUAUAUGGAAAGCUUACAUUUUUGGGAAGAUGAUUUGAAAACAUUGGAAGAGAAUACCUAAAAAAUAAAAUAAAAUUAUGAAAAAUAAGAUAAAAAUUAAAAUCAUAUUUGGGUAAACUUCUAAUGAAAUAUGCUUAAAAGUCAAGGCUAGUAGACUUCAUUUGAAGUCUACCAGCCGUAAGUUUUAACUAUAUUUCAAAUGAAGUCCACUCUAUAAAAAAAAUAGAUCUGGAAAUAAAUAUAUUAAAAAUAUGAAAUAAGUCUAAAUCUAAAAAACUUUUAAAAAUAUGAUUUAAUAGAUAAAAUAGUUAUAAAUUAAAGACAUAUUAAUAUGAAUUUUAAUAUGUAACUUUAUUUGAAUAUAAAUACUAGAACACAAAUAUGCUUCCCGAUAUGCUUCUCGGACUUCAACAUCAUUCAUGUUCCACG